AUGGAAAACCAGCUUUGCUUCGGUGCUGCCUGCUGGCAGAGGCCUCGAGGAGCUGUCAGCUCCCUGCAGAGAACCCCAAAGGGGCUGCGUGCUGCUUGUCCCCACUCCCAGGAGGACACAGGAGCCCUGUGCCCGCAUCCAGCUGGUUUCCUCCCUGCCUCCAGCUCUCCUCCUCUCCUUCAUCCCACACCACCUUUACAAAAACCUUCCCCAAAGGCUGGCAGACGGAGCGGGGCUCCAGGACUCGUCGCAGGAGGACAAGCAGCACGUCUCCCCGCCGCACGUUUCCCAGCCCUUCGCCAGCUGCGGGAGGAGCUGGGCUCUCCUGCGCCCUGCUUGCUGCCGGCUCCGUGGCGAGCCCCUCUCCAGCUUGGCUGCCUCCUCGCCCGGCGCGCUGUCUGCCUUGGCUUGCUGAGCAAAACGUGGCAGGGAGCACACGGUGAAGGUUUGGGCUCUCCAAAACCCCUUUCAGCUGCUGCUCCCUCGGCAGAAGCAGUGCUGGGGCAGAGACCUCCCCACGCUGCCUCGGUUUCCCCACUGCAGAGCUCCCCGCUCUGCGUGCAAGGUGUGCUGCAAACUUUGCUACCUGGCAGCCAGGGCUUUGCUUUUGUUCAGCCCCUGAUUUUCCUGCCUCCUUCUGUGGCCGAUUGCAAACCUCUUUUCCCCUUCCUGCAGCCGGCACUCCAAUAUUUGCGCCAUGCCUACGGGCUCUGCCACCACCCGGGUGACUCCUGGUGCCUGGCCCCCCCUCGGAGGGGACAGCAGCAAGCCCAAAUUGCCGUGGGGAUGCUUCUCGUGGGUGCUGCUGGAGAUUUGCUGGGAUUUGGGGAGCGUGGAUUUCUCUCCUUAACGUUAAGCACAUCUGCACCUUGUCCUGGGUCUCGCUGCUCCUUGCCCGGUUCCGUGUUCCCGAACAAGUCAGUGCCAAAAAAAAAAAAAAAGGGGGCAGCGAGGAGCCCUGCCCAGCUCUCCUUCCUCCGGAGCUCGCUGCUGCGUGACACGGACACGCUGCCUCCUGUUUUCCCUAAAUAUAUGCAUUUGAGAGGGAGAGAAAUCGCAUGGCAGGGCUUGAGAUUUCAGACUUAG
rnacentral:lncRNA from 1 species